rnacentral:lncRNA from 1 species
GGCCCCUGAUCAGGCCUCCUUCUGACCUGGAGCUUAGUCACCCCUUGGUAGCCUGCCCUGAAAACCUCCGGCCCCAACCCCAGCCCAGCACACUGCCCCAGGCCGUGACCCAGAGGGAGCACCGGCUCUGAAGUCUCCUCCCCAUUCAGGCACUGGCUGUCAGGCCCAAGACCUCUGUCCCCCCGCCACACACACACCCCUUCCCUAGUGGCAUGGGGCUGUGAUAGGCAGGGGUUCAGGAAGCUCUAUCUACGGAUGUCUCAAAAAUCCCAAGAUGAAAUACAUGGGAAUAUAGCAAACACGGUCUUUUCAACAAAUUGUUCUGGAACUACUGGACAUCACAUGCAAAAAGAUGCAUCUAGACACAGACCCACAGCCCUUAGGAAAACUAGCUCAAAACGGAAUGUAGACCGAAAUAUGAAACACGAGACUAGAAUUCCUGGCAGAUAGAACAGGAGAAAAUCCAGAUGACCUUGGGUAUAGGAAUGACUGUCGGGAUACAACAUCAAAGGCACAAUCCAUGGAAGAAAUGACCGACAAGCAGGGCUUCUUUAAAGUUCAGAACGGCUCUGCCAGACACUGCCGAGAGCAUGAGAAGAAAAGACGCAGACUGGGAGAG